UGGGGAAUAUUGGGCAAUGGACGAAAGUCUGACCCAGCAAUACCGCGUGAAGGAAGAAGGCCCUCGGGUUGUAAACUUCUUUAGGCAGGGAAGAAUAAAUGACAUUACCUGCAGAAUAAGCCACGGCUAACUACGUGCCAGCAGCCGCGGUAAUACGUAGGUGGCAAGCGUUAUCCGGAAUUACUGGGUGUAAAGGGCGCGUAGGCGGGUACGCAAGUUAGAUGUGAAAACCCGGGGCUCAACUCCGGACCUGCAUCUAAAACUGUGUAUCUUGAGUGUCAGAGGGGAAAGUGGAAUUCCUAGUGGAGCGGUAAAAUGCGUAGAGAUUAGGAGGAACACCGGUGGCGAAGGCGACUUUCUGGCUGACAACUGACGCUGAGGCGCGAAAGCGUGGGUAGCGAACAGG
rnacentral:rRNA from 1 species